rnacentral:rRNA from 1 species
UACGUAGGUGGCAAGCGUUGUCCGGAUUUACUGGGCGUAAAGAGCUCGUAGGCGGUGUGUCGCGUCGGCCGUGAAAACCUGCAGCUUAACUGUGGGCUUGCGGUCGAUACGGGCAUCACUGGAGUUCGGCAGGGAGACUGGAAUUCCUGGUGUAGCGGUGAAAUGCGCAGAUAUCAGGAGGAACACCGGUGGCGAAGGCGGGUCUCUGGGCCGAUACUGACGCUGAGGAGCGAAAGCGUGGGAGCGAACAGG